UUGAAAGGUGCUGGAUUGACAGCCCUGAAGACCAAAGUCUUUUCUUUAUGCAUGAGCAGCAGUAGGCAGGCUUUCCCACACUGCCCUGUUGAUAUGCGUCACCCCUGACCUGGAGGAACCCCCUCUAGGGGUGAACGCCUAGUAGACUAUCCAUACCUAUUCAGUCCUUGUGUUCU
rnacentral:sRNA from 1 species